UGGGGAAUAUUGGCACAAUGGGCGCAAGCCUGAUGCAGCCAUGCCGCGUGUGUGAAGAAGGCCUUCGGGUUGUAAAGCACUUUCAGCGAGGAGGAAGGUGGUGGACUUAAUACGUUCAUCAAUUGACGUUACUCGCAGAAGAAGCACCGGCUAACUCCGUGCCAGCAGCCGCGGUAAUACGGAGGGUGCAAGCGUUAAUCGGAAUUACUGGGCGUAAAGCGCACGCAGGCGGUUUGUUAAGUCAGAUGUGAAAUCCCCGGGCUCAACCUGGGAACUGCAUUUGAAAACUGGCAAGCUAGAGUCUCGUAGAGGGGGGCUAGAAUUCCAGGUGUAGCGGUGAAAUGCGUAGAGAUCUGGAGGAAUACCGGUGGCGAAAGGCGGCCCCCCUGGANGAAGACUGACGCUCAGGUGCG
rnacentral:rRNA from 1 species